rnacentral:rRNA from 1 species
CCUACGGGAGGCAGCAGUGGGGAAUAUUGGGCAAUGGGCGCAAGCCUGACCCAGCAACGCCGCGUGAAGGAAGAAGGCUCUCGGGUUGUAAACUUCCUUUCUCAGGGAAGAAGCAAGUGACGGUACCUGAGGAAUAAGCCACGGCUAACUACGUGCCAGCAGCCGCGGUAAUACGGAGGUGGCAAGCGUUAUCCGGAUUUACUGGGUGUAAAGGGCGUGUAGGCGGGACUGCAAGUCAGAUGUGAAACCCACGGGCUCAACCUGUGGCCUGCAUUUGAAACUGUAGUUCUUGAGUACUGGAGAGGCAGACGGAAUUCCUAGUGUAGCGGUGAAAUGCGUAGAUAUUAGGAGGAACACCAGUGGCGAAGGCGGUCUGCUGGACAGCAACUGACGCUGAGGCGCGAAAGCGUGGGGAGCAAACAGGAUUAGAUACCUUUGUAGUC